rnacentral:rRNA from 1 species
AGAGGGUGCAAACGUUGUUCGGAAUCACUGGGCGUAAAGCGCGUGUAGGCGGCCGGACAAGUCGGGUGUGAAAGCCCACGGCUCAACCGUGGAAGUGCACUCGAAACUGUUUGGCUAGAGUCCUGGAGAGGAAGGUGGAAUACUCGGUGUAGAGGUGAAAUUCGUAGAUAUCGAGUGGAACACCGGUGGCGAAGGCGGCCUUCUGGACAGUGACUGACGCUGAGACGCGAAAGCGUGGGGAGCAAACAGGAUUAGAUACCCUGGUAGUCCACGCCGUAAACGAUGAGUGCUAGGUGUCACGGGCUUUGACCCUCGUGGUGCCGAAGCUAACGCGUUAAGCACUCCGCCUGGGGAGUACGGCCGCAAGGCUAAA